rnacentral:rRNA from 1 species
GAGUUUGAUCCUGGCUCAGGACGAACGCUGGCGGCGUGCUUAACACAUGCAAGUCGAACGGAAAGGCCCUGCUUUUGUGGGGUGCUCGAGUGGCGAACGGGUGAGUAACACGUGAGUAACCUGCCCUUGACUUUGGGAUAACUUCAGGAAACUGGGGCUAAUACCGGAUAGGAGCUCCUGCUGCAUGGUGGGGGUUGGAAAGUUUCGGCGGUUGGGGAUGGACUCGCGGCUUAUCAGCUUGUUGGUGGGGUAGUGGCUUACCAAGGCUUUGACGGGUAGCCGGCCUGAGAGGGUGACCGGCCACAUUGGGACUGAGAUACGGCCCAGACUCCUACGGGAGGCAGCAGUGGGGAAUAUUGCACAAUGGGCGGAAGCCUGAUGCAGCAACGCCGCGUGCGGGAUGACGGCCCUCGGGUUGUAAACCGCUUUCGCCUGUGACGAAGCGUGAGUGACGGUAAUGGGUAAAGAAGCACCGGCUAACUACGUGCCAGCAGCCGCGGUGAUACGUAGGGUGCGAGCGUUGUCCGGAUUUAUUGGGCGUAAAGGGCUCGUAGGUGGUUGAUCGCGUCGGAAGUGUAAUCUUGGGGCUUAACCCUGAGCGUGCUUUCGAUACGGGUUGACUUGAGGAAAGUAGGGGAGAAUGGAAUUCCUGGUGGAGCGGUGGAAUGCGCAGAUAUCAGAGGAACACCAGUGGCGAAAGCGGUUCUCUGGGCCUUUCCUGACGCUGAGAGCGAAAGCGUGGGGAGCGAGCAGGCUUAGAUACCCUGGUAGUCCACGCUGUAAACGGUGGGUACUAGGUGUGGGGUCCAUUCCACGGGUUUCCGUGCCGUAGCUAACGCUUUAAGUACCCCGCCUGGGGAGUACGGCCGCAAGGCUAAAACUCAAAGGAAUUGACGGGGCCCCGCACAAGCGGCGGAGCAUGCGGAUUAAUUCGAUGCAACGCGUAGAACCUUUACCUGGGUUUGACAUGGAUCGGGAGCGCUCAGAGAUGGGUGUGCCUCUUUUGGGGUCGGUUCACAGGUGGUGCAUGGCUGUCGUCAGCUCGUGUCGUGAGAUGUUGGGUUAAGUCCCGCAACGAGCGCAACCCUUGUUCACUGUUGCCAGCACGUUAUGGUGGGGACUCAGUGGAGACCGCCGGGGUCAACUCGGAGGAAGGUGGGGAUGACGUCAAGUCAUCAUGCCCCUUAUGUCCAGGGCUUCACGCAUGCUACAAUGGCUGGUACAGAGAGUGGCGAGCCUGUGAGGGUGAGCGAAUCUCGGAAAGCCGGUCUCAGUUCGGGUUGGGGUCUGCAACUCGACCUCAUGAAGUCGGAGUCGCUAGUAAUCGCAGAUCAGCAACGCUGCGGUGAAUACGUUCCCGGGGCUUGUACACACCGCCCGUCAAGUCAUGAAAGUUGGUAACACCCGAAGCCGGUGGCCUAACCGUUGUGGGGGAGCCGUCGAAGGUGGGACUGGUGAUUAGGACUAAGUCGUAACAAGGUAGCCGUACCGGAAGGUGCGGCUGGAUCACCUCCUU